rfam:Ciona savignyi cont_13428, whole genome shotgun sequence.
GCCCGGCUAGCUCAGUCGGUAGAGCCUUGCACUCUUAAUCCAACGGUCGUGGGUUCGAGCCCCACGUUGGGCG